AGUGAACGCUGGCGGUAGGCCUAACACAUGCAAGUCGAACGGCAGCACAGUAAGAGCUUGCUCUUACGGGUGGCGAGUGGCGGACGGGUGAGGAAUACAUCGGAAUCUACUUUUUCGUGGGUGAUAACGUAGGGAAACUUGCGCUAAUACCGCAUACGACCUACGGGUGAAAGCAUGGGAUCUUCGGACCUUGCGCGAUUGAAUGAGCCGAUGUCGGAUUAGCUAGUUGGCGGGGUAAAGGCCCACCAAGGCGACGAUCCGUAGCUGGUCUGAGAGGAUGAUCAGCCACACUGGAACUGAGACACGGUCCAGACUCCUACGGGAGGCAGCAGUGGGGAAUAUUGGACAAUGGGCGCAAGCCUGAUCCAGCCAUACCGCGUGGGUGAAGAAGGCCUUCGGGUUGUAAAGCCCUUUUGUUGGGAAAGAAAAGCAGCAGGUUAAUACCCCGCUGUUCUGACGGUACCCAAAGAAUAAGCACCGGCUAACUUCGUG
rnacentral:rRNA from 1 species